rnacentral:rRNA from 1 species
UACGAAGGGGGCUAGCGUUGUUCGGAAUUACUGGGCGUAAAGCGUGCGCAGGCGGCUUCUCAAGUCAGGGGUGAAAGCCCAGAGCUCAACUCUGGAAUUGCCUUUGAAACUAGAGAACUUGGGUACGGGAGAGGUGAGUGGAAUUCCGAGUGUAGAGGUGAAAUUCGUAGAUAUUAGGAAGAACACCAGUGGCGAAGGCGGCUCACUGGCCCGGUACUGACGCUGAGGCGCGAAAGCGUGGGGAGCAAACAGG